CCUACGGGAGGCAGCAGUGGGGAAUAUUGCACAAUGGGGGAAACCCUGAUGCAGCGACGUCGCGUGAGUGAAGAAGUAUUUCGGUAUGUAAAGCUCUAUCAGCAGGGAAGAAAUAGCGACCUUUGGGUCGCCAGACGGUACCUGAUUAAGAAGCCCCGGCUAAAUACGUGCCAGCAGCCGCGGUAAUACGUAGGGGGCAAGCGUUAUCCGGAUUUACUGGGUGUAAAGGGAGCGUAGGCGGCAGCGCAAGUCUGCAGGGAAAUGCCGGGGCUUAACCCCGGAACUGCUUUGGAAACUGUGCAGCUAGAGUGCAGGAGAGGUAAGUGGAAUUCCUAGUGUAGCGGUGAAAUGCGUAGAUAUUAGGAGGAACACCAGUGGCGAAGGCGGCUUACUGGACUGUAACUGACGUUGAGGCUCGAAAGCGUGGGGAGCAAACAGGAUUAGAUACCCUAGUAGUC
rnacentral:rRNA from 1 species